AUUGAACGCUGGCGGCAUGCCUUACACAUGCAAGUCGGACGGCAGCACGGGGGCAACCCUGGUGGCGAGUGGCGAACGGGUGAGUAAGACAUCGGAACGUGUCCUGGAGUGGGGGAUAGCCCGGCGAAAGCCGGAUUAAUACCGCAUACGAUCUGUGGAUGAAAGCGGGGGACCGAAAGGCCUCGCGCUCAAGGGGCGGCCGAUGGCAGAUUAGCUAGUUGGUGGGGUAAAGGCCUACCAAGGCGACGAUCUGUAGCUGGUCUGAGAGGACGACCAGCC
rnacentral:rRNA from 2 species